AGCGAACGCUGGCGGCAGGCUUAACACAUGCAAGUCGAGCGGGCAUAGCAAUAUGUCAGCGGCAGACGGGUGAGUAACGCGUGGGAACGUACCUUUUGGUUCGGAACAACACAGGGAAACUUGUGCUAAUACCGGAUAAGCCCUUACGGGGAAAGAUUUAUCGCCGAAAGAUCGGCCCGCGUCUGAUUAGCUAGUCGGUGAGGUAAUGGCUCACCAAGGCGACGAUCAGUAGCUGGUCUGAGAGGAUGAUCAGCCACAUUGGGACUGAGACACGGCCCAAACUCCUACGGGAGGAAGCAGUGGGGAAUAUUGGACAAUGGGCGCAAGCCUGAUCCAGCCAUGCCGCGUGAGUGAUGAAGGCCCUAGGGUUGUAAAGCUCUUUUGUGCGGGAAGAUAAUGACGGUACCGAAAGAAUAAGCCCCGGCUAACUUCGUGCCAGCCGCCGCCGUAA
rnacentral:rRNA from 1 species